rnacentral:rRNA from 1 species
AUUGAACGCUGGCGGCAUGCCUUACACAUGCAAGUCGAACGGUAACAGGUCUUCGGAUGCUGACGAGUGGCGAACGGGUGAGUAAUACAUCGGAACGUGCCCGAGAGUGGGGGAUAACGAGGCGAAAGCUUUGCUAAUACCGCACACGAUCUCAGGAUGAAAGCAGGGGACCGCAAGGCCUUGCGCUCACGGAGCGGCCGAUGGCAGACUAGGUAGUUGGUGGGAUAAAAGCUUACCAAGCCGACGAUCUGUAGCUGGUAUGAGAGGACGACCAGCCACAAUGGGGCGUAUACACGGCCAGGCCUCCUACUGGAGGCAGCGGUGGGGAAUUUUGGACAAUGGGCGCAAGCAUGAUCCAGCCAUGCCGCGUGCAGGAUGAAGGCCUUCGGGUUGUAAACUGCUUUUGUACGGAACGAAAAGACUCUAGUUAAUACCUGGGGUCCAUGACGGUACCGUAAGAAUAAGCACCGGCUAACUACGUGCCAGCCGCCGCCGUAAAAC